UACGGGGGGGGCAAGCGUUUGUUCGGAAUUACUGGGCGUAAAGGGCUCGUAGGCGGCCAACUAAGUCAGACGUGAAAUCCCUCGGCUUAACCGGGGAACUGCGUCUGAUACUGGAUGGCUUGAGUUUGGGAGAGGGAUGCGGAAUUCCAGGUGUAGCGGUGAAAUGCGUAGAUAUCUGGAGGAACGCCGGUGGCGAAAGCGGUCCGCUGGACCUCUACUGACGCUGAGGCGCGAAAGCCAGGGGAGCAAACGGG
rnacentral:rRNA from 1 species